AACCAAUGAUGAAAACGAUUCUGCCAUAUGAUUCACACUGAUAUAAUCACUUACCGUUCCACUUUUUUUCUGAGGUU